AUUGAAUCCGUGAUGGACAUUAACGAUUCUAAAGAUUUGUGGAAGAUUGUUGUUCGUUGUAGACAUCUCUGGACUGUGAGAAGUUCGUCAAACAAAGAACACCUUGAACUAAUUUUGGUUGAUUCUAAGCUGGAUAUGAUACAAGCAAUUGUACCAUCCCAUCUGGUGUCGAAAUAUGUGGGCGAUCUUGCCGUAGGAGCUUCAUAUAUCAUGCAGAACUUUAAAGUCUCAAACAACGAUUUCUCCUUUAAGUCUACUACUCAUGGAUACAAGUUGGUAUUUUGUGGUUUAACUUAUGUUAAGAAAACGGAGCUCCCGGAGAUUCCUAUAGAUUAUUUCAACAUUCUUGGUUUGGCGUCCAUUGCUGAUGGAAAAUUCCAGCCUAAUGUAUUGGUUGGUACGUUGAUAUUUAUAUAUAUAUUAUUCAUCUAUUUUAUUUGGAUUAUCUUGUAUGUAUGCUUACAUUGUUAAUCAAACUUUUGAAGACAUAGUUGGAGGAGUUACUGAAAUUCUGCAGACUCAGAUAAACUCAGAUAACAACAAAAGCAAGUUUGUGUUUAUGAUCACUGACAUGAGUGUACACUAUGGGGUAAUUUUGCAUUGCAAUUUUAUGAAUACUACAAGAAUCAUGGGGAAGAUGUGAACAUUGUUUUUCUAUUACAAAACGCAAGGAUAAAGGCUGCGCAAGGAGGUUUUCCUUUAAAUGUAUCCAAUGCUUGGAGUGGCACAAAGCUGAUCAUUAAUGAUAUUAGUAAUGUUGAAAUUAAGAAGCUGAAGGAUAGCCUAAAUGCUGAACUGCCAAAGCUUUCUUCAUCAAGUUUGCAAGUUGAAACAACUCAAACCUCACAGUAUUCCGAUUUUGAUAAAUUUAUAUGGAAGGCCGAAGUCAUUAGUUUGGCUGAGAUCGCGAUGCUUAAACAAGUAUGCAG